ACACCUGAGGAGGAAUAUUCUUUGACAGAAAAACAGAACAGUGAGAAAACGGACCGCAGGGAGGUUUCAGCAUCGAUCGUUCAGCUACCAGGAGAACCCGGACCAUCAGAGACUUUCCUGCAGGAUUCGGUUCCCUUGUAGCCUGGAAUCUGCUUUGGGAUCCUCCAGAAUCUGUUUGUUGGAGAAAAGACUGAGAUUUUUCUCAUGGUUCUGUUACUUCAGCUGAAGAGGAAGAACGAACGACUGCAGAACCAUGAAGUGACUCUGAGAUGAAGCUCAGUGGUGCUGGGACUGGAUUUAAUUAUAUAUAAAUAUAUAUAUAUAUUUUUAAAAACUAAAUAAUGAAGAGUUUGUAUUAACCAGCGUCUGUUGAAUACAGAACAGGUCCUCAUCUACCUCGUUUUUUAUAGAUACUAUGAAGAAUAAACAUUAUUUUCUGUCUUUACACUGGAAGAACAAAUUCAAAUUCUAAAAAUGU